UUCCAGACUCCUACGGGAGGCAGCAGUGAGGAAUAUUGGUCAAUGGGCGGGAGCCUGAACCAGCCAAGUCGCGUGAGGGAAGACGGCCCUACGGGUUGUAAACCUCUUUUGUCGGGGAGCAAAGCGAGUCACGUGUGACUCAUUGAGAGUACCCGAAGAAAAAGCGUCGGCUAACUCCGUGCCAGCAGCCGCGGUAAUACGGAGGAUGCGAGCGUUAUCCGGAUUUAUUGGGUUUAAAGGGUGCGCAGGCGGAGGUGCAAGUCAGCGGUCAAAUUGCGGGGCUCAACCCCGUACUGCCGUUGAAACUGGCGUUCUUGAGUGGGCGAGAAGUAUGCGGAAUGCGUGGUGUAGCGGUGAAAUGCAUAGAUAUUACGCAGAACUCCGAUUGCGAAGGCAGCAUACCGGCGCCCAACUGACGCUGAAGCACGAAAGCGUGGGUACCGAACAGGAUUAAAUACCCUCGUAC
rnacentral:rRNA from 1 species